rnacentral:rRNA from 1 species
AGUGAACGCUGGCGGUAGGCCUAACACAUGCAAGUCGAACGGCAGCACAGUAAGAGCUUGCUCUUACGGGUGGCGAGUGGCGGACGGGUGAGGAAUACAUCGGAAUCUACUUUUUCGUGGGGGAUAACGUAGGGAAACUUACGCUAAUACCGCAUACGACCUACGGGUGAAAGCAGGGGAUCUUCGGACCUUGCGCGAUUGAAUGAGCCGAUGUCGGAUUAGCUAGUUGGCGGGGUAAAGGCCCACCAAGGCGACGAUCCGUAGCUGGUCUGAGAGGAUGAUCAGCCACACUGGAACUGAGACACGCUCCAGAAUCCUAAGGGAGGCAGCCGUGCGGAAUAUUGGACAAUGGGCGCAAGCCUGAUCCAGCCAUACAGCGUGGGUGAAGAAGGCCUUCGGUUUGUAAAGCCCUUUUGUUGGGAAAGAAAAGCAGCAGGUUAAUACCCCGCUGUGCUGACGGUACCCAAAGAAUAAGCACCGGCUAACUUCGUG